rnacentral:rRNA from 1 species
CAAACGACUCUCGGCAACGGAUAUCUCGGCUCACGCAUCGAUGAAGAACGUAGCAAAAUGCGAUACUUGGUGUGAAUUGCAGAAUCCCGUGAACCAUCGAGUUUUUGGACGCAAGUUGCGCCCGAAGCCAUUCGGCUGAGGGAACGUCUGCCUGGGCGUCACGC